rnacentral:rRNA from 1 species
UACGUAGGGGGCAAGCGUUGUCCGGAAUUAUUGGGCGUAAAGAGCGCGUAGGCGGUCCGAUAAGUCGGCUGUGAAAGUCAAGGGCUCAACCCUUGAAAGCCGGCCGAUACUGUCGGGACUAGAGUCCGGAAGAGGCGAGUGGAAUUCCCGGUGUAGCGGUGAAAGUGCGCAGAUAUCGGGAGGAACACCAAUGGCGAAGGCAGCUCGCUGGGACGGUACUGACGCUGAGGCGCGAAAAGCGUGGGGGGAGCAAACAGG